CUACGGGUUGCACCAGUGGGGAAUUUUGCGCAAUGGGGGAAACCCUGACGCAGCAAUACCGCGUGAGUGAAGAAGGCCUUUGGGUCGUAAAGCUCUUUUCUUGGGGAAGAUAGUGACGGUACCCAAGGAAUAAGCACCGGCUAACUCCGUGCCAGCAGCCGCGGUAAUGCGGAGGGUGCAAGCGUUGUUCGGAUUUACUGGGCGUAAAGGGCACGUAGGCGGCACAGCAAGUCAAGGGUGAAAUCCCGGGGCUCAACUCCGGAACUGCUCUUAAAACUGCUGAGCUAGAGAUAGUCAGAGGCGGGUGGAAUUCCAGGUGUAGAGGUGAAAUUCGUAGAUAUCUGGAGGAACACCGGUGGCGAAGGCGGCCCGCUGGGGCUAUUCUGACGCUAAGGUGCGAAAGCGUGGGGAGCAAACGGGAUUAGAUACCCCUGUAGUC
rnacentral:rRNA from 1 species